rnacentral:lncRNA from 10 species
UCCAGAAAUGCGAUUAAGAAAUAGAAAAGAUGAAAGCGGUAACAGGCAUGGCUAUCAAUCGUGGAUCUCCAACCUAUGAAUAAAAGGUGCUACAGAUAAAAACCGGGCUAGGUUAGCAGCAAUACCAGAAGUAUCAUGGGAGAAAAAAUUCCCAGAUCUGAAAAAAUACCCCAAAUUCUGACUUUGUUACCAUUGAAUUCUGCUAAAAAGAAAAACCGAGCCUAAGAUGAUGGAAGACUAAGGAAGACAUUGGCCUCCAGAAGCCAAGGAAGGCAGCUGUGGGCUCAGACCCACUGGGGACCCUCUGAAAUACUGAAACCAGCCUCAGAAUCAUCCCACAAGCUGGGGACUGCCUUUUGCAGCUUCAGGAGAACUCCAGGGCCAGAGAAUGUGGGACAGGGUGGCAACAGGAUCUACUGCCAACCCCCUGCAGGCCCAGCACUCUGAUAUGAAUCAGAGGGAUUCAGAGGGGAAGAUGUGCUGUGACUGAGCGCUGCGGGGCUCCAGGGUGGAUGCCAGGCAGGGUAGCAAUAAGACAAAUGCAAUUGUUCUCACACCUGUGUGUCGAGUCAUUGCCACCCCCAACUGUCCCAGGGGCAGAGCUUAGACAGUGGUGAAGGGCAGGACCGGCGCCUCAGAGUUUUGGUGCCCUUUCCCCAAGCUAGGCUCAUUAGCAUCUCACUCUCCUCUGGCCUGACUCCCACUCCAUACUUGAAUUCCCUCAAUAUCACAUACUCUUUCAUUUCCUGUUUAUAAAUCUGUAGCAAUGUGGUGCUCGCCACCUCCUAAAGUAGCUUUUGCCUCCUUCUUGUUCUCAGAAACACCUUGUUGCAAAGGCCGGGUCCAGGUGCAAGCCUCAGCUCCAGGUUCCCCUCGAGGAUAAGCAGAACUCUUACUCCCUGAUACUCAAAAUAAAAUACCCCACUCUUCUGAAUAGCUCCCAGACACUAUGUCCCCCUUGUAAACAGAACCGCUCCCUCCAAGCCCAGAGGUCAACUUCUUGAAUAUGUCAUGCCAUUUCUUCACUCUCCUCCCCGGGUUGCUUAUCAGAUGCUCUGUGCAUCAUCUCCUGCAUCCCGUAGCCAAAUAAACCAGUCAGUGCUCAAUUCUCCAAUUGACUGGAUGGCUCAGGGAACAAACCCUCAAAUCUGAUUACAGGAAAAUUCAUUACUUUAAGUCCUCCCUCAGGGUUCAGAGCUCAUAAAAGAAACCUCCAGAGGCCCAGGCCGAGGGGAAGAGAAGCUCCUAUGCUGCACAUCUACAGAUUGCCAAUAAUUAACCUGAACUAAUUAUUGUUGAGCCCCAGGUCAGUCUUCCCAGAUCAAGGCUCCCCUGACAACUGAGUUUUCAGAGCCAGAACUUUUCACUCAGACACAAAAGGAACAUUCAGCAGAUUUUAAUAAAAAAGAGCAUGACUCACAUAGGAUCCUCUGCUAGACAGAGACCCAGCCGGUUGGAGGCUCACUGGCAGGGACACGAUUCAGGGCCCCCAGAGAGACACCUGUGUGAGGACUCUCUUCCUGGCCCUGUUUACAACCCUCUUAGGAUUUUUGAACAAAUAAGACCACACAUCUCAACACAUAAAGACAAACAGCAA